rnacentral:lncRNA from 1 species
GCAUGUGUCGUGAUGGUUAAUUUUAAGCCCCACCUGAAUGGGGCCAAGGAAAGACCAGAUAGCUGGUAAAAAACCUUUCUGGGUGUGCCUGUGAGGGUGUUUCCUGAAGAAAUUAGCAUUUGAAUCAGUAGGCUGAUUUGAGAGGAUGCCCUUACAAAUGUGCGUGAGCACCAUCCAAUCCCUUGAGGGUCUGAAGAGAAAAGUGGAGGAGGGGCAGAUUAGCUCUUUCUUUGGGCUGGGACAUAUAUCUUCUCCUAUCCUCAUAUGUUGACUGUCCUGGUUCUUGGGCGUUUGGACUGAGAAUGAAUUCCACCACUGGGCUUUCCUGGUUUUCCAGCUUGCAGAUGGCAGAUCAUGGAACUUCUUCUUCUUCUUCUUUUUUUUUUUUAAGAUUUUAUUAUUUAUUCAUGAGAGAUACAGGCAGAGGGAGAAGCAGGUCUCAUGUAGAGAGCCUGAUGUGGGACUCGAUACCUGGACUCCAGGAUCAUGCCCUAGGCCAAAGGCAGGUGCUAAACCGCUGAGCCAUCCAGGGAUCCCAGAUCACAGAACUUCUUGACCUCCACAAUUAGAGAAGCUGAUUCCUAGAAUAAGCCUCUUUUCACAUAUCUCUCUAUAUCCUUUCAGAUCUGUUUCUCUGGAGAAUCCCAAUACAUGUUUCCACCAUUUUCAAGACAUUGGUGGUUCUCCUGUGUGCUCCAUGCCCCUUCAACAACUACCAGCUUUAUUUGAGGAAGGAAACCUCCAGAUUCCCUCAGCUAAGGUAACAGGGUAAUCAGAUUUGCACUUUUAUCUUGGGGUCUCCCCACGCCCAAUUCAACAAGCAGGCUUAAGGACGACAAAAUAAUCCAUGGGAAGGAGAAAGGUGAGCACCCGCAGCUCCCCUCACCCACAGACAGGUCAGUGGUUACAACUUCCUGUCUUCACUUGAGGAUCUAGCUAUGCCAGCCUCCAAAGGAAGGGGAACCUGUAGGUGUCCAAAUCACUGGUCACCUAAGUGUGACAAAUCAGAGGUGGAGCUCAUGGAGGAGAGAGCACACCAUGUGAAAGAGGCAGAAAGUGGGAUGCUUGAGUGGCUAAGUGGUUAAGUGCCUGCCUUUCAGCCCAGGGCCUGAUCCUGGAGUCCUUGGAUCAGUUCCCACAUCAGGCUUCCUGCAUGGAGCCUGCUUCUCCCUCUGCCUCUCUCUCUCCGUCUCAUGAAUGAAAUAAAUAAAAAAUCUUAAAAAAAAAAAAAAA